AUUGAACGCUGGCGGCAUGCUUUACACAUGCAAGUCGAACGGUAACAGGCCGCAAGGUGCUGACGAGUGGCGAACGGGUGAGUAAUGCAUCGGAACGUGCCCAGUCGUGGGGGAUAACGCAGCGAAAGCUGUGCUAAUACCGCAUACGAUCUAUGGAUGAAAGCGGGGGACCGUAAGGCCUCGCGCGAUUGGAGCGGCUGAUGUCAGAUUAGGUAGUUGGUGGGGUAAAGGCCUACCAAGCCGACGAUCUGUAGCUGGUCUGAGAGGACGACCAGCCACACUGGGACUGAGAGACGGCCCAGAAUCCUACGGGAGGCAGCAGUGGGGAAUUUUGGACAAUGGGCGCAAGCCUGAUCCAGCAAUGCCGCGUGCAGGAAGAAGGCCUUCGGGUUGUAAACUGCUUUUGUACGGAACGAAACGGUCUGGGUUAAUACCCUGGGCUAAUGACGGUACCGUAAGAAUAAGCACCGGCUAACUACGUGCCAGCCGCCGCCGUAAAAC
rnacentral:rRNA from 1 species